rnacentral:tRNA from 1 species
AUUUAAAUAGCUUAUAUUUAGAGCGUGACACUGAAGAUGUUAAGGAAAUUGUUAUAAUUUUUAAAUA